CCAGACUCCUACGGGAGGCAGCAGUGAGGAAUAUUGGUCAAUGGGCGAGAGCCUGAACCAGCCAAGUCGCGUGAGGGAAGACGGUCCUAUGGAUUGUAAACCUCUUUUGUCGGGGAGCAAAAAGGCCUCGUGAGGCCACAAGUGAGAGUACCCGAAGAAAAAGCAUCGGCUAACUCCGUGCCAGCAGCCGCGGUAAUACGGAGGAUGCGAGCGUUGUCCGGAUUCAUUGGGUUUAAAGGGUGCGCAGGCGGGGCCUUUAGGCGGGGGGGAAAGCGGGGGGGCCCACCCCCGCCGGGCCGGUGGAACUGGGGGCCUUGAGUGCGGGGGAGGCAUGCGGAAUGCGGGGUGUAGCGGUGAAAU
rnacentral:rRNA from 1 species